ACAGCCACUCAAAAGAUUUUUCUUUCAGAGGAAGUGAAGGACAACAUGCCCACGACUGGAAGGACACCCCAUCUGCCAUCCCAGCACCUGCCUUCUGGCAGAAUCCCCAGGACCUUUACCUUGAGAGGCCAAAAUAUCUGACAGAGACAAGCUCCCCACCUUUGAAUGGGUGCUGGCAAUCUGUGAGUGGAGAAUUCUUUUAAAGAAAA
rnacentral:lncRNA from 1 species